CUUGCAACCAUCAUUAUACAGUUCCAAAGUAUCUCUACAUGAAGCAUCAUGUACUUGAUCAACUUGAUUCUCCUGCUUCUAAUGUAACCUGUACUCUUGCAACCAUCAUUAUACAGUUCCAAAGUAUCUCUACAUGAAGCAUCAUGUACUUGAUCAACUUGAUUCUCCUGCUUCUAAUGUGUACACUCUGUGAGGCUUUCAAAUGUAAAUGGGGAUUCAGGACUGAAGGUUACCAAAGAAAUGAUGGCAAGAUGAAUAAACCUUGCAUUCACUGCGUUACCAUAAGUUCCAAAUCAAAAGAAUCAGACUACUAUAAAUGUAAAAGAGGAUUCACAUGUCAAACAACCUCAGAAAUAUUGAACGAUGGCAUUGAGUAUUACCCAAGCUAUCGUCAUGACUGUAGAAUCAAUGGUAAAUGAGAUUGUAAUAUAAAUAGAGUAAAUACCAUAAA